GGAAAGUUGACUGGAAGGGAAAGUUUGGUGGAGAACAGGCAAAGAAAACAAGCUGUUUGGAGUUCAGUGGUAAGUUUCACUGUCUGUGAUGAUUACCUUGUCUUUGGCUGGUGUUGGUCUAAAGCAUGUUAUCAAGUCCAAGGCUGACAUUGCUGUUUUAGAGCACUUCAUCCUUACCAUAGACUGUAUAUAGAAUGAACAGCGUCUGCCUCCUCGCUGGGUGAAGCCACUCCGAGAACAGCACUCUCUGUUGACGGGCUGCAGAAUAGAUCAUUAAUCCCACCUCAGUCAGCAAUCCUUAUGGGGCUGUGGACAAACUUUAGAAAUUUAUUACACAGAAAAUAAUUUUUUCUCCCCCCUGCUUGUGAUGUUGACAUGUAGUUAUUGUAAGUCUGGUUUGUGCUCAAGUCCUCUUUUUUUCUGUGCAGCCUCGUUUUAAAAAGUUAUUAGGGGGUUAAUUUUUUCUAUGAUUGACAGCUGAUACAGCCUAUUGACGUACAAAGAUUGCGUAACUCACCCGGGGGAUUCGCUGUUUGAGCCGAGCGUCAUCACAGCAACUCUCGGCAGCUCUCCCGCCAAAUGCCUACAAUGCUACUGCGCAAGUGGUGGAGCACGUACAACACUACAGCGCAGUGAUAGUUUCAGGAAGUGGAGAAAAAACACAGAAUUACCGAGAGCUUUUUGGCUUCAAAUCCAUAUACUGGCGGAAGGCGGAACCAAGUUGUCCAUAGUAUAUACAGUCUAUGAUCCUUACAUUUGCUAACAAGCUUUAUGGAGCUGGUGAUUCUCCUUUUCAAUAGAGUUCAGCACCUGCCCACAGUGCCAAAACCACUACCAAAUGGUUUGCUGACAAUGAUAUUUCGGUGCUUGAUUGGCCUGCAAAAAAAUCACCCGACCUAAAUCACAUAGAAAAUCUCUGUUUGUAACUUUCAGAGUAUGAGAAAUACCCAACCCAGAAAUAUCAAAUCAGUAUAUAGUAAGUUAUUUGUGGUAAAGGUGCUCCAGCCAAAUUGAGUCCACUUUUUAUGUACAGUGCAAAUUAACUUAUUAACUUUCCCAUAGGAUUUUGAAUGCAGUUCCUCUUUGUUUUGAUUCCUAACUUUGCAUUAACACAUGAUACCUCUAGCUAAAUAUAUUCUUUUAAGUAAUCCAUGAUCCUAUAGUCAGCAUAUUGCAUAACAGACCUUUUUAUAUGGUACUAUUGCUGGAGAGGUCACAGGGAUAGUUGCCAUGCCGACUGACUCCUCUUGUUACCUCAGCAUCACCACUUGCCGGGCUAUCAGGACACAAAAGGUGUUUCUAAAUAUCACACGAGUUAUUCUCAGAGUGCUGACCUUUGACGGCCGCUGGUGUUUGGAGAACAUUUGUGAACAAUGCCCGCCGGGGACACUGUGUGUUUAAACCUUGCAGACCCAAAUAUAGUGUGCGAACCAGACAACCUGGUCGACUUGAAAUAAUAAAAUGUGGCAGGUGGAAAGAGCAGAGAGUUUCUAUUGAGGGGGGGAACAAAAACUUUUCAAAGGUAAGCCAUACAGAACUGCUCAAACCACUCAGACCUUGUUUCUGGCUAAAGGCAUCAGAGACAUAUCCUCUCUCAAACUGUUCAGUACUGUAGCUACAUGAACAAUGUCCCCAGAGCCAGUUAAGUCUUUUCUUCCAGUUCAAUCAUGGCCGAGUGAAUAAUAGGAUGCCAUUGUUUUUCUAACAAGAGUCGAUGGAGGAAACAGCAUGAGCUAUGGAGCUAUAUUUACACUCUGUUUCAUAUUCGCACGUUUGGCCAAGGCCACCGGUGCUGCUGAGGAACAAUUGAAACUGUAGAUACCAGUGAAAUUAACUCUAAGGAAUAGUUGUGAUUUGUAUUGUCAAAUUGCACGUCAGAUUUUUUUGUCAUCCUGAAGUGCACUGUUUUAUUUGUUAUCACAGUAAAGUUCCCAGUUUGAGCUGACUCUCUAAGCUUAAACUGCGCUAAACUUGCAUUUGACCUUAUCUGACGUGUCAUGUGAAAUCGUUUUAAAGAAAGGAGUUUGUGUACAGAUGUUGCAUCCUGAAGAGCUACAGGGCCCUAACCUAAACCAGAGACAAUGGGAGAAGUUGAGCAAGAUCCUGUCCUAAAUUCUUGGCAACAGCUGCAGAUACUGUAUGUACUCUGUAAGGAUAAGCACACAGAACACACCAAAAAGUAGAGAUGCUUAAUGCUCACCUCCACCAGUAGCAGCAAAACAAGAGCGAGCUGCACAGAACUGCAAGACAAUAAGCGUGUUUGUGCUUGAAUCAUUUUACUGAAAUAUACUUUUUGAACUGGACCUUGAGAUGGAACAUAUCACAGAGGUGGAUAAUUGGCAGUUCUUGGUGCUGUUAGCUGCAUUACAUAGCGCUUUACAUUGGAACCAUCAUUCAUUCGCUCACACAGUCACACCUUGGUGGUGGUAAACUACUUUAGUAGUCACAGCUGCCCUGGGGCAGACUGACGGAAACGUGGCUGCCAGUUUGCGCCUACAACCUCUCCGACCACCACCACACAACUCUCACAAUCAUACACCAGUGGAGAACACACACUGGGAGCAAGGUGGGUUAAGUGUCUUGCCCAAGGACACAACGGACAGACUAGGGAUAGGGGGUAAUCGAACUGCCAACCUUCCGGUCAUUGGAUGAGCACUCUACCUCCUGAACUACUGCCGCCCCUUCCCUAGCUGGCACAAUGAAUAGGAUCUAGCUGGUUUUAAUGGCAUUCAUCAGUUUGUACACAUCUAUAUCUUAUCACUGCAAAAUUAGUUAUGGAGUUCCACAAGGCUCAUUGCUAGGACUCAUACAAUUUAGUUUACACAUGCUAGGAUUAUAAUCAUAAAAUAUACAACAAUUUUCCAUUUAAUCUGUAAAGAACACCCUGUUAUACUUGUCACUGAAACCAGGGAUGGGUUAAAGAGUUGGGGUAAAAAACCUUUAUGACUGCAUGAGUUGGAAGACUUGCAGCACAAACCAUCAGUGAUUAGUGUAUUUGGUUUCCAAGGAGAAAGGUGAAAGUGGUAGGAAGUGGAGGAUGAGGAGGGGGUGGGAAAGUUUCUUGACUCGAGGUAGGGAUUUUCCCACUUGAACCUGCUUUCACCUCACACUGCUUUCAUUGACUUUCUCUCUGACUCAUACUCACACCUGCAACUGCGAGUGUAACAUCUCACCACAACCCAAACAAGGACAGCUAUACAUCAUCUCUACAGGAUAACAACUGCAUUAAAAAUACUGUACAUGCAACCACAAAUUUAAGUAUUGUACAUUCAAACACUGUAUCCUGGCACGUUUUUACACAUGCAGGCAAAUACACUUGUGCAAAUGUACCAAUAAGUGCACACUGACUUGCACAUGUUAAAGCACUGUUGUGUAGAGCAGAUGACACCCCCUCAAAUAUUGGCACACACACACAAACACACACUCUGUCCUGAGCUCAUAACCAAAUUUCACCAUGAACAGAAGACAGAGGGCCCUCUAUGUGCAACAAUCGAGUGAGAAAUGACAGCACUCGCUGAAAUAUUUAAGAGCUUUUCAGAAGAUCCGGAGAAGGUCAGAGCACCCUGAACUAAUCUCCUUUCCAACAAUGAUGCCAUUUGAUUUCCUGCUUUUUUCUAUCGCUGGCUGAGAAGAAUCAGUGGUUAAUUUGACGCACUAAUCGCAUAGUUGUGUCCUCGCCCCACGGUUGGCUUUCCGAGAUGAAAAACAUCCAUCUACUGUAUUUGUGAAGAGCUGUGGGUCUGUGUGUGUGCAGAGGUGCACUCUUGGCUGCUGCUGUGACAUGAUUCAGAGUUUCGAGUGGGAGACCGUUGACCCUCGAUUAGUCCUGGGGAUAGACUCUCUGCAGCGCGUGUCUGCGAGAUAAUAGAGGAUCAUGUAGACCAAAUGGACUAAUGGGAAGUCAUUAGUUGGCCCCUCGAGCCUCAAGUAUGACCGCUCGCCCUGAAUCUCAGGUUUCUAAACUUCAGUAGUAGGAAUGUGGCUUAAAUGGAUUGGGAGGCAAAGGGAGGUAAAGAAAACACAAAUGAAUGUUUGCAGCAAAAUUAUGAAAACACUCGUUUUCUCCAGCUAUACUCAAACUGUGAUAAAAUGGCUUACAUACGGGAUGAUUGAUAGAGCCAUCUAUUUAUAAUCUGAAUUAUUUUCAUUUUUUUUCAUCAAAAAUAUGUGAUUAUUGGACUACUUGUGAUUGUGAUGAUCAAAUUAAGCAGAAUAGCUCUGAUAAGACACUGAAUUUUUCGUUUUAACCCAAAAAAAAAAACAUGUUGGGAUCAUACAAUGGUACACUCUUUAACCACACAAUAGACUCGUACAUCACUGCUAAUCUUGUUUAGGCUGCAGUAAAUCAAUCAAUUAAAGGCAACAGAGGAAAGAAACAGAGCCCUGUACAGAGGAAAAGUUCAAAAAGUGUGUUUUCGGGUGCACAUCUCUCAUUUUGCAUCCUUUAAUGAUGAAGGAAUGAGCCGAGUAUGUCAAUAUUCAUUUUGACAGAGUUAAAGCAGCUCAAACUCUUCAUGUCUCAGCAAAGAUCUGUCAACAGCAGCUAACGAACGAGCUCUGAAUGAGAGAGGGAGACUGACAGCCAAGAAUUGUUGGAAUGCACUCUAUUGAAACAAGGCUGGAGAGAGAGAGAGAGAGAGAGAGAGAGAGUAUGGGAAGGAAAUACAGACAGACAGAUAGACGGACAAUUGAGACACACAAAGUGACAGCACACAUUGAAACCAAGCAAAAAAGUUCCACAUGAAAAACUUCAUAAUGCAGCUCACAUGUGUGUGAGUGAGAGGGCUCCGACGUGUCUUCAGAGGAGCACACAGAGUCAUCAGGUUCUCUCUGGACAGAUGCCAGCUGCAGCUCCUCUGAUGUCGCUAUUGAGGCUAAUUAAAAGGCAUAAAACUCUCACAGCUGAUUCACUCUGGAGGAUCUUAUAGCUAAUUCAAGCAUGUGCCUCUCCAGGUCAAAGCCAGCCCCACUUCAUCAUAUCCCUAUGUUGUAUAGAUUCUAUACAUUUCCCAAAGGAUUCAAUCAAACGUACGGUGUGGAGCAUAUAGCAUAAUAUGAAAAAGAUUUAAUAUUUGGCAGAGAUGGAGUAUAAUAUGUGAAAUUAGAGGAAAACUUAAUUAGAAAAUUGCUUUACUUUAAAGAUUGAACCUCUUCCAAAGACACCGUCAUCUUGUACUGCCAAAUUUCUACAGAAGCACAAAAAAGAAAGGGAGCAUUUUAAUAUAGGAUCCAUGGAUAGACAGAGGUGAGACUGAUUGAGGGAGAUGCAGAAAGAGAGAGACAGACAGAGGUGAGAUAGAUGCACAUAGCUGGGGCAGCUGGAAAGCAGGCAGGUCCAUGGCAGCAAACUGUCUGCAGCAUCAAACAAGAGAAUUCAAUGGUAUGAUGGAGCUCAGGGACUUCCCCAUAAAUCUGUACAUUAGUGACUUUCAAGGGACAUGAUGAUUCACAGUUAAUGACAUAGACAGAAAGAGGAUAAAGAAGGAGAAAAAGGUGCUCAAUGUGCCAAAACCCCUGACAGUCUAAACCACAAGAGCGGCCCUGGCACUUGCAUGUGUUUUUGAUGUUACAACUUUGCCAAAUUUAUCUUUUAUCUCUCUGAAAACAUGUUUUGUAGCAUAUAUGUCCCAGUUAGCUGCUGUACAAAAAGAAUUUCUGGGCCUGGUCUGAUAUUACUCUCUAACCUUUCUUUUUACUGUUCAUAUACAGUUUAAUGACUUACAACCUAUAGAGAGAUGUGAAUUUCAAAAUAAAAGCAUAGCUUCCCACUGAGCCAUAGAUGGCUAUUAGACUUCUAGUUUUUUUAGACCUAAUUUCAACCAUGUAGAUUCUGUUUAUUUUUAGACGGAACUUUAACAUUACACUUUUACCCAUUAUUCAAUAACUAUUUAUUUCACAAAGCAUCUGUGAGUUGCAUAACUGAUCUCCAAGUACUUAAACAAAAUAAUUAUGAUAGCCGUUGAGCAAUAUACAGUGUGGUAUAGAUAUAGCCUAGAUUUAAACUUGGUCUAAAUUAAGACGUCUGAAGAACUUUCAUUUUUAGACCUGUGGUAGCCUGAUUUUAAACCGGUCGUCUAGGCUACAUUUAGAUAUCCAUUCGACCAAAGAAAUGCUCAGUGGGUAUUCAAUGCAGGAAAUAAAGCAACCUGAUAAUAUUGAGUUAUUUAAAUUAAAGUGUACUCAUAUGUUGUGGAGUUGUAGAGUCAGAAUCCUUAUAUUACAGUCUGUGUCUGUUGUUGCUGUUAUUGUUGUUGACAUUCCCACAGAAGGUCCACAGUGUAAUUUCUUUAAACUUCUGGUGUUCUUGUUUGAAAUCAGUAAAGAUUAACCACCAAAAGACACUUUGUAAUUGUAGUUCUUGCUGUGAAAUCACCAAAGUCUCUAUUCUCCCUCAGUAUAUGCUAAAACUGGUUGUAUAUCAUCUCUCUGAGAAGAGCCAAUCUGUGCAGUUCUCACUGUGUCAGCGCUUAUUGUCCAUAUUUGUUUUAUAUCUGUUGGAUGAGCAAUCUGCUGACGGUGACUUUACAAACACUAACAGAUUGAGUGAGGAUGGUCCACACUGUGCUGCAGAAAAUAAACACCUCCAUGAGGAAUGCCUGGUUUUGUUCAGCUCCAAGAGGAGCAGCAUUCUUCUGCCAGCCUCCCCUCCCCGUCCCCUCACAGGGGACUUCCCUGCUCCAUACUGUACUCAGACUACAAUGAGUGCCACUCAGGCCUACUUUACAAAUAGUUAUCUUUUGUAUACUAACAAAAUAACUAAAGUUGGUAUCACUCCUCAGUGAAAUUUUACUAUUCUUCUUCUUUUUCUCUUCCACGACAAUGUACGGGUUACCACUUUGUCCACAGGGGGCGCCAAGAUCAAUAUAGACAGAAAGUUUCUCACAGGAGUUUUAAAACAAAAACCUGUAAGUGGUUGCCACAGGAAGAUUUGACCGCACGUUUUGGCCAGCUAUACUGACCUGGCAUGCUUAUGUAUUUCUGCAUUGUUGUGAUGCUAAGGUUUGGACAGGAUCCUGAAGAAAACAGGGAAAAAAGGGAUUUCUAAAUGUGUGGACAUCAUCUCAAAAAGACCAGAUGAACAGAAACUACUCUAUUAUGAACCAUAAAAUGAUGGUGUUUAUUUUCCAAAUCUGUCAAACUUUGCAUCACAUUUGGUCUGAACACACCGAAGCUUCUCAAACUUGAACAAUAAGGUGCACGAAAUGUAUGAUCAAGCAUUUUUCACAAACUGUUUGCCAUACCAGAAAUGUAGAGAAGUCAGCCACCAUUCCCAGAGAUUCACCUUCAUCAGAUGACAGUCAGUGAUUACUGACUUUAAGUCGUCUUUAGAUAUGGUUUUAAAUUGUGAUACUUGAUUUUCAACUCCAGAGAAGUAGGCAAACAGAAAGCUUUGGUCCAGAUUUGCUGGAGAGGAGGUGAAUGAGAAUGAGGUGUCAGACAGGGCGACCAAACAACAGUCGGGAUUCACCACAUAGCAGAGGCAGAAAUAGAAAAAGGAAACAGAAAUAGAGAGGGAGGAGGUGGAGCAGGAUUAUAGGUGUAUAUGUGAUGUCAAUCUAAAAAUGCCUCCGUGAACUUUGUUUCUGUCUUUUUUUUCCAGUGAAGAGUCUGAGCCUCCUCCCAGUCGUUCCUGUUUACAAGGUGACUUCCUGAUGACGCUGUGCUGAGUGUGUCAUCGUCCGUCAUCUGGUAUUCCUUUCAGGGAUAUGUUCAUAAAGCAUGUACGCUGUAGGUGGAUUAUGUAUACCAUUAUUAAUUAAUCCUGUGCUUAUCAACUAAUCCACUUUUGAUAAAUGUUACACACUUUAACAUCCCUUCUUAAGGGUCCAUCAUCAAGAAAUAGGGAAAAGUACAUAUACAGAAAAAUUAAGCCUGAACUGUCCUGUCUGUAUGUUACACAUCCACAUCCUGCAGCAGAAGGAAGGACAUUGUUCUCAAUGAAGUGACUCAUAUGAAAUUGUUGAUCUAGUGGACAAAUGCCGACAAAAAACAGUCUGCAGAAAGUUUGUAAUAAAACGUAAAAAUCCCGCGAAGCAAAAUGCAACAGGGAAAACAGCUCAUGGAGUCAUCGCAAAGGAAGUGCUCCAGGCCAUUAGGGGGCACUAUGUGGUACAGAUUUAUUUACAAAUUAAAAAGCGAGCAAGAGAAAGAUAUGUGGUAUGGAAUUUAAUGAUUUCAUUAGGGUGACUAUAUCCUGACUUCCCAAAAAGAGGAUACAACUACAAGGGGUCACGAGGGGAGUCACGGAGUUGCACAAAGUUAAUUUUGACAGUUUUUCAGGUCGGAUCAAGUGUCUUUUACACGCUUCUAACUCAGUAAGUCCACAUGACAAAAACUCGAAACUUACAUACAAAACCGCAGACAUUUGAAGGAUUUUAUAAACUUCCCUGGACAAAGCUGGACAAACCUGGACACUCACCAAAAAAGAGGACAUGUCCAGGUAAAAGAGGACAUAUGGUCACCCUAAUUUAAUUAAUCACCACAUCCAAUUUAAGCAAAGUUAGGACUUUCCUCAUAAAGAGAGAAACCUUAGGUAAGAAUGUUUUGCCACUUGAAUGUUUCAGUUAAAGCGAAAAGCAGAGAGGACAAAGUAGAACUUACUGAGCAUAAAACAUAAGUCUUCUGCAUCUGUUUCUGUUAUUAUCGUUUUAAAUUUAAAGAUUUCAUUAAAAAAUGUCCUGGCUGAGUUUUCAUUGGCUUGUGUGAGCAAUACAGUGGAAACUAUUAAAUAAUUCAGAGCUUC